GUCCACGUUUUUCUUUCGUACGUUGACGAGGAAGGAGCUGAAACUUUUCGCUUUUAAAUAAGCAUUUUCUUAAACAACGAUUUUGAUUUCGUUAUAUUUCACACAUUUUUCGCGUUGUGGUUUUGGAUAUUGAACUUUUCUGGUAAUUACCGACGGCUUGUAUUUUUUGGUAAUGUGCCCUGAAAUCAUGACCUUAAAAGGAAGUAACGUUAACCAGAAAAACAUGGACACCACAUCUGUGAAUAGGAGAUGGUCGAAAUCAAAAAGGAAGCCUUUUUUCAGUACGCAUAUGAGGAGAGCCAGCAUCAGAAAUUGCAGUGCUUUUGUCGUGAGGAGGCAGCAAGGCCGCGCGUGGCCCGCACGGAAAUCCCAUCAGGCCCGAGAUCCUUGCGACAAUUCUUCGGUGAGAAACCAUUGUUCUGUACCAUCUGGUGCCAUGGCACCAAAAAACACUACAGAGUAUUUGAUGGACCUUGUUUACGAGCGAUCGGAUGUUUCAAUGGAGUCUUUUGAUAUCUUUGGAGUUUCAACAGAGAGACUUCGAGAGCGUGUACUUCAGGAAUGAAAUUUGACGUGGUCAUCGCAACCUGACCUGAUUUCGUCAGAAGGAGACAAGAGUGCAGUCGUUUUACCAUAGACAGUAAAAUCAUUGCGCAGGCUCCAAGUCACGGAGGCCGGACGCUCUGCGUCACAGCUGCGCGAUGACGUGUAUGCCACGCCCCGCCCCAUGUGCCGUCAUCAUCACGUGGCUUGCAGGUAAACCCGCUUCACCCUUUCAGGUGUACGAGGUGUAAUGCAAAGAACGUUGCAGUAACGUCACAAAUGUCAUUUCUAGAAAUGUGCAUGCACUGUUAUACCAUAGGAUACAUGUGUUUGAGAGACUUUUGCAGGUUGCUGAUCAUCCUCGGUUACUCUCCGCUGUCUGUGCAACGCGUGCAAAGCCUCUGGACAAAGCCACAUGGCCUUCUGGUCAACAGUGUUGGGUAAUUGUUCAUGUGAUAACUGUUAAUAGUCCUUUUGCACAAUGUAAUCCUAUUUCAUAACGUUCUGUGGUAUACUUCAUUUUGUGAAAAUAAACUGUAAAUAUUGAUUGUAUUAAUGAUUAAAGAUUGUUUAAAAUAUUAAAACUAUUUAAUACUACAAUUUUUGAGUCAUUUCCUAAUAUUUUAAGAGGUAAAAUGAAUUAUUUUUGUACAGGCGAAAAAGAAUAGAUCAGUCACAUGAGACCUAUUCUGGUAUUGAAUGAAUAACGUCAUUUUAUUGCAGUAGUAUUAUUGUUACUAUCAGAUAAAGUAUUAAAGGCAUGAGCACCAUUCAGCUUGAAACUGAAAUCUGAGAAGAUCGGAAGGGGCUACAGUUGGUCGUCUUUGCUCCGGUGAGGAUGGGAACAAAGUGCAGAUGAUGAAUGACUGGAAAGCGGAUGAAUAAAAGGCCUGUGGACUAGUUUUAGUGGUAAAUAUAGGUUCAGUAUUAAGUGUGUCCUACACAAAUCUUUGCCUAAUAAAAUCCCUGAUUCUCUGGUAAAACUA